rnacentral:rRNA from 1 species
GAUGAACGUUGGCGGCGUGCCUAAUACAUGCAAGUCGAGCGAACAGACGCGAAGCUUGCUCCUCUGACGGUAGCGACGGACGGGUGAGUAAGACGUGGUGAACCUACCUAUAAGACUGGAGUAACUGCGGGAAACCGGAGCUAAUACCGGAUAAUAUCUUGAACCGCAUUGUUCAAUAUUGAAAGACGGUUUUGCUGUCACUUAUAGAUGGAUCCGCGCCGCAUUAGCUAGUUGGUAAGGUAACGGCUUACCAAGGCAACGAUGCGUAGCCGACCUGAGAGGGUGAUCAGCCACACUGGAACUGAGACACGGUCCAGACUCCUACGGGCGGUCGUAGCAGGGAAUCCUCCGUACUGGGCUAAAGCCUGAUCCAGCCACGGCCCGGGCGUAAUGAAGAAGUUCGAACUGUAAACAGCCAUUCUUAGAGACGAAAAACUGUGGAAGUAAGGAUGCAUGUAUUGCCGUUACAAAAUCAGCAAGACACGGCUAACUACGUG